rnacentral:ncRNA from 2 species
CCCCACGACACGGGGUGCGCCCGCCGGGCGCUGAGAUCACACCCGUCGAACCUGACUCAGCUCGUACUGACGGAGGGAAUGUCGACCAUGACGCUG